AUAAAUACAAAGAAAAGGACUAGUAAAAAUGUCAAUCUUUUUGAAGAGAGGGAAUGGUUGGUGAAAAGUUCCUAGAAGAUUAUUUUGAACCUACCUUGGAGUUCUGUACUGAAAUAAUAGUAGGAUACAGCGGGUAAUAACCGUUAAUAAUUAAGAGUGAAUAUGUUUUAUAGAAAUGUAUUAAACAGGGUGGUACCGCCGAUAUAGUCUUGGUCCCUUAU
rnacentral:ncRNA from 1 species